AUCUGGAGUUUAUUAGGUGAAGAAGCUCCGGGUGGGAGGUUUGAGCCGAGCGCAGCGAGACAGCAUUGCUGUAGCAACGACCCGUAGAGGGACGUCACGCAGUAACGACGAGUUAUCUUCCCUCUCCAACCA
rnacentral:sRNA from 1 species